AACUGAUGGAUUCAACUGUGGAGUACUUAUUUGUAAGCUUGCCAGGAACUUGUGUGAUAACAGACCGAUCACAAAGGUCAAUGUUUCUAUUGAGAGAAUGAAGCUUCUAUCCAACCUGUUGGCAGCUGUUAUGAUGACAUUUUGAGGUACAAUAAAUAUGCCUUUCUUUUCAUUACAGUCACCACUGUGUAUUGUGUUUAA